GUCGCGACCUCCCGGCGGUCCGUGGACUCCAUGCCAGACUUUGAGGGAGCGGCCCCCCAGCACCCGAAGUCUGCAGUGGGGAACCCUGCCGCGAUGCUGGUGCGCUCGCACAGAUUCCCGAACCUCGCAUGGUGUGUCUCCCAGAGCACUUUCCUCCAGUCCUACCGGCCACACAAGGAACCUUUGAUCCGCAUACAGUACAGAUGACAGCCUGGGAAAAACCUGGACUGUGAUGGCGCCACAGGACCGUACCCCUUCCCACCUGUGCGAACCGUUUGGGGGAGAUGACUGAAGACAGAAACCAGAGAACACUUUCACAACUGAGGAGCGAAACACUAGCCGACACUUAAAACAGGCAGCGAGUUGCUAACUCCCGCAGCUUGCUCUUCUCAGCAUGAACUCUGGUUGACCGUAGUGCAUGCAGGACUUUGGGCCAAUGCAUAGGUGGAGAUAAGAACAGAGCCCAGUUUUGAGGACUUUGGGGAUAACAAAAUGAUUUUAUUACACAUAAAGUGUGUUCAGACACAGUGUCUGACACAGUAAAUGCUCGAUGAAACUCGCUGUUCUUUUCCUUUUCAAUUUGUCAUAGGCCCUGAGGGCAGGGACCCCAGCUUGCUUCUCACCUCUGCAUCCCAAGUGCCAGGUGGGUGAUCAGUUAGCUCAUUCUGUCUUCACCUGCUCCCGUCUCACGGAGGAAGGAGCUGCUGUCUACCAUGUGGCUUCAGAGAAGACCAGGCUGGGACCAAGGUUGAGGUGGCUGGUUGAGCAGUCCAAGCAUAGGCUGGAGGGCUUCCUGGUGAGAGAUUGGGCUCCUGGGUCCCGGAGGUGCACAGAAGGCUGCAGAGGGGACCCUGGCUGACGGCUGGACUGGGUGGCCCUGCCUGGGGGUCGUGUUUCUAAGUGAAAAGCAGCUUAACCAUUGCUAGAGCCUUUGCCGUCCUGCGGUUGUGAGAAGGGCUGGGGAGGUUUGAGGGGUGCAGGAGAAGCUCCCUCGUUGAGGGUGGGAAGGGUCAGGGAGCAGGGAGAGGAGGGGAAGGGCAGGCCUUGAAGCUCGUGCAGCAGCGUCUAGGAAUGGACAAGCUCGAGGGUGGGUGGGGUGGGGUAUCUGUGGGUGGGCCCCUGGCCUGACUCGGCCUGCGUCCAUGGCCCCUCUUUUCCCU
ensembl:lncRNA